ACUCGGCUGUUUCACCUGCGUCAGGAGACGAGGAGCGUACAGGAUUUUGCCCUAGAAUUUAGGACUUUGGCAGCAGGAGCAGGAUGGAACGACAGGGCCUUGAUUGAUCAUUUUAGAUGUAGUCUCAGUGAGGACGUCCGCAGGGAGCUGGCAUGUCGGGACACCACAUUCACACUGGAUGGACUUAUCGAUCUGGCUAUCCGUCUCGACAACCUGCUGGCUGCUCGCGGGCGUUCGGAUCAGGUCCUGUCGUUUCCUAUCCCCAGCCCCCCUGUUCCUAUCCCUAUGGAAUUAGGAGGUACGGCUUCAAGGGGGACCGGAGGAGGAGUGUCCUCCUGCACCAGUUGUGGUCGACGAGGGCACACGUCCGACCGGUGCUGGAGGAACUCGUCUAGGAGUCGGGAGGACAGGCGGAACACUGCUCGAUCACCCCAGGCCGGUGGUGGCUGGUCCCCUGCAAGAAGGUGAGGUGUCUGAGGUCCCUCCGCCCCCUCUGGACAUCGAGGGGCCCCCGGCGUAUACAGUUCGAGGCAUUCUGGAUUCGAGACGCCGGGUGGGGGGCCUACAGUACCUCGUGGACUGGGAGGGGUACGGCCCGGUGGAGAGAUGCUGGGUUCCGGUGAGGGACAUUUUGGACCCUUCUCUCCUGAUAGAUUUCCACCGCCUCCACCCGGAUCGCCCAGCACCUCGUCCUCCGGGUCGUCCUCGAGGACGGUGGCGGCGCGCUGCGGGAGCCGCGCGUCAGGGGGGGGGGGUACUGUCACGACUUCCGCCGAGGUUGGCUCUCCUACCCGUUCGGGCGGUGCUCGGCGGUCGUCGUCACCGUCCUACUAGCCACUACCGAUCCCUUUUCGUUUAUCUGUUGGUUUUGUCUGAUUGGUUUCACCUGUGUGUUGUUUAGUUAAUUAGUGUCUGUAUAUAUUGUAGGUUGUCCCACCCUUGUUUUGUGCGGGAUUGUUUAUGUUGUCAUUAUUUUCGUCUAUCGGUGUUUUUGUGUUUCUUAUUCUCCGGUUACUCUGUUAUCCUGUGUUGGAUAAUUUCACCCUGUGUGUGUUUGGGUUCACCGUGUUUGUUUUGUUCAACGGAGAAUAAACUUUAUAUCGCUA